rnacentral:lncRNA from 1 species
AGAGUGUCCUUUUCAGGGCUGUUUCUCUACAAGCUGGUUGCAGUGUGUUUUUGAAACAGCCUGUUCAGCACCAUUAGCCCCACAGCCAACUUGGUCCAUGGAUGGUCACAGUGACAGUGAUGCUGCACUUACAUUCUCCUCUAUAAAUAUUUUUGUUCUGUCCUUUAUCUUCCACUACUCAGCCAAUUGGGACUCAUCUCACACAGUCUGUUUGGAGACACAAGUGAUCACUCUUUGGCAUUAGCAUCAGUGUGGUAUAUGAUGUUUUAAUUUUAUUAUUCUGUCCCACUUUUCCUUGCUAAAUACAGCAGAUCUGGGAAUUACAUUCCUGUAGUCAGCUGUAGUAAAACUGCAGAUGGAAUGUGUUUAUUCAGAUGUUGUGUAGUCCAUCUUGGAUAGGACAAAAUAAAUGAAACUUGUAGAAACUUUAUUUGAAGCAGUAAGAGAGAACUUUGAACAGUUCAUAUGCUGUGUUAUGGGUGAGUUAGGCUAAAGAAAAUACACUGGCUGGUGCAUUCUCAGUCUGUUACAGCUGCUAGGUGAUUUUCUAGAUGAAUCAUUAUUUUUUAAUAAAUGGAGGAAGGGAAAAAAAGGCAAAAAUGGUCUCCAGGAAUUUGUGGCUUAGGUCUGUUACUGUGGUUUGCUUAGAUCCAGAGAGGAAUGUCUGUGUGUCACUCGACAGUUCUUUUGGGGAUAGAAGUUGAAAAUAGCUUGGCUGUAGCUACUACACUGGCUUUUGGAGUUUUAAACAUCCCAUUGCUUUCAAGAGGUAGACAGAUGCCCUUGCAUGUUGUAAUCUGAGGGCAAUGUAAUUCUGCCCAACUGCUCAGAGCUCCUCAAGAGAAAAGUGGGCAGGUGCUGUCCCUUCCCUAAGGCAGCAGGGAGGCUUCUGGGAUGUGCCAGAGAGAGGUUCGGCCCCAGGGCAUUCGGAGGACUGUGGGACUCGUUGGAAGAGGGAGAAAGCAGGCUUUAUCCCAUACUAUUCGUUCACCUCUGGUUUGUGUAUUGCUUUUCUUGCUGUGGAUUCCCUGGGCUGGGACAGGCGUGCAGUGGGAUGACCGGCCACUCGGUGGAGUAAGGAGACCUGCAAAUGCCAUGGGAACACACUGGCCUUGGCAUCCGAGCUCCUGGUGCCGUCCCUGGAAACGCGCGUUCGAUCCCGUGAAUUCACAGGGAGUCGGUUCUGUGCGAACCAGUGCAGGGGAUUAUUUAAUUUUGGCAAUAACUUCGGGAGAACAGAUACUUUGGCUUUAUAGUUGCAAAUAACAGCUGAAUUUGGCUGCUUUCACCUGCACACAGCAUUUGAGGUUAUGAUUUGUACCAAGGGAUACUGUUUUUCAAGUGGAGUAUUCCUUGCCUGUCCUUAAAACUUCCUGACCAGUGUCUCUGAGGGUAGUACGUGUGUUGUAAACGAAACAAAUAAGGCAUUAAUGUGUUUGAGGUAAGUGCAGUUUGGUUCAUCUGGCAGAGUUAUGGCCAUGCCUAAUUCAUAAUCUAGUAGGAGUUUUGCUGAAGUAGAGCAAGAGCAUUCAGACUGUGUAAAAUUAAACCACUAAAACUUUUAUGAGGUGAGGUCCUUUAGCACCUAGAAAAUUUCAAAGGAAGAUCCUUGCUUAUAGAGACAUUUCCCCAAAAUUUCUGAGGUUUGUUUUGUUGUUUAACUUUUUAUCACAGAAAAAAAAAAGAUUAGCGAAAAGGCACUAAAAAAAAAAUCAGGUAUCUUCUGUGCCAUACCUAAUUAAGCUAGUCUGAGAAAACUCCAUUGCCUCUAAUUUUUAAGUAAUAUUUUUAAGUUCUCAGGGGCAAGAGUGUUAAUAAGCUAAUUCUUGCUGCCUGUUACCUGUUGUUUGUGACACUUAAAGAGAAUACCCAGCUGAUAAAGCACUUCUGUUAUGUUGUUAAUCAAUCAAUGGGAACCAAGAUUUGAUUCAAAAAGAGUAAGACUGUUAGAAGCCAAAUAUUCAACGAGGGCUGUAUUGUGUAUACUAUAAAGAGAAAUUGUUCUGAGAGGCUGGGUCUCAAAAUGUUGCUGUGAUAUUCUGGCACACAACCAGAAUUGUAGAUAAGGUCAUCAGCCCUCUUUAGGCAUUGUUUCUGACACCAGAUUACAAUUUUCUCUGUAAAUGGAAGUGACAUUGAUGGAAAAGCAGCUGAUUGUAAAGAAAUCCUGCAAAUGACAGCCA